UACGUAGGGUGCGAGCGUUGUCCGGAAUUACUGGGCGUAAAGAGCUCGUAGGUGGUUUGUCGCGUUGUUCGUGAAAACUCACAACUCAAUUGUGGGCGUGCGGGCGAUACGGGCAGACUGGAGUACUGCAGGGGAGACUGGAAUUCCUGGUGUAGCGGUGGAAUGCGCAGAUAUCAGGAGGACCACCGCUGGCGAAUGCGGUUCUCUGGGCUGUACCUGACGCUGAGGAGCGAAAGCGUGGGGAGCGAACAGG
rnacentral:rRNA from 1 species